rnacentral:rRNA from 1 species
AUGUCUACGUCAGCGGGUUCGAAGACUGCUGAUUCCAUGGAUGAGGAUACGAGUCAAAUACCACAUGUUAGAAGGUCCAAGGUAUGGGAGCAUUAUGAAGUAGAUUUGGUUCUCGUAGAUGGUGAUUUCAAGGCUGUGUGCAAAUACUGUGGAGCGCAACUUCACACCAAGUUUGGGACUAGCAGUUUGAGGACCCAUAUUGCAGAGGCUUGCCGAUCAAUCCAAGAUGCUUGCAGACAGAGGUUUUUGUUGACCAUGAAAAAAAAACAUCCGAAGGACUGUUUGUGUUUGAUGAAAAAGUUUGUCGUGAAUGCAUGGUCAAGUAUUGCGUCCAUGCUGAGAUCCCCUUUCUUAAGUUUGAAGACCCCACCUUCAACCAUGGAUUGA